GGGCCUGUAGCUCAGUUGGUUAGAGCAGGGGACUCAUAAUCCCUUGGUCGUAGGUUCGAGUCCUACCAGGCCCA
rnacentral:tRNA from 1 species